GGUAGUCUUGCUUGUGACCUUUGGCUUAUGAUUGAUUAUGUGGCAAGCAAUGCUUCUGUCAUGAAUCUUCUUGUUAUCAGUUUUGACAGAUAUUUUUCCAUUACAAGGCCACUAACUUACAGGACUAAAAGAACCACUAAAAGAGCAGGGAUAAUGAUUGGCUUGGCAUGGGCAAUAUCAUUUAUACUUUGGGCUCCAGCUAUAUUGUUCUGGCAAUACUUUGUUGGAAAGCGCACUGUCCCCUCUGAUGAAUGCUUUAUCCAGUUCUUGACAGAACCUAUCAUUACAUUUGGAACUGCAAUUGCCGCAUUUUAUCUUCCAGUAUCAAUUAUGACAAUCCUAUACUGGAGAAUCUAUAGAGAAACCGAGAAACGUACAAAAGAACUGGCAGGUCUGCAAGCUUCUGGAACUAAAGCAGAGGUAACUCAAGUUGCUAAUAAAAAAAGAGGUUCUAGAAGUAACAGCUACAACAAAACCCAGAAGAAAUUAAAAUUCUCUUCUAGCAGAUAUCGGUGGUGUUCUCAUCAUUACAGAGCAAAGUUCUUCAAACCAAACACAAAGAAGAUAGAUCAAGAUCAAAGUAGCACUGAGAGCUGGAACAAUGUUGAUGCAAAUGCAUCACUUGAUAACUCAGGCACCUCCGAUGAAGAAGAGUUUUCUGAAAAUCCAAGAACAUUGUUUUCCAUUGUGUUAAAGCUUCCUGGACAUAAUUCCAUUCUUAGUUCAAAAAAAUGUCCGGAUACUAACCAAGUAAACAUAUCAUCAGGAAAAAAUCAAACCACACACCUCAAAUUAGACACACACUCAAUCAAAAAGGAGAUCAAGUUUCAAAGUAUUAACUCCCAAAAAAGUAUUGCACACAAAGGGACUUUACAAAAUGAAUCAAGAUCUACUGUGUCACAUCCUCAGGUGCUACAAAAUAUGACUGUGGCUGCUCAGACAAAUGCACUUAUAUCUUUCAAAGAAAUAACGUUAGCUAAAAGAUUUGCAGCAAAGACACGAAAUCAGAUCACAAAACGGAAAAGAAUGUCUCUUAUCAAAGAAAAAAAAGCUGCACAAACACUUAGUGCAAUUUUGUUAGCUUUCAUCAUAACGUGG